rnacentral:lncRNA from 1 species
CUGAACAGCAGCAGAAGGAAGGUAAGAGACAGAAAGGGAAGAAACCUUAGAAACAGGAGUGGAAAUUAUAUCAGGUGGAGGAGUUGGAGAAAUCUCCUCAAUACUCAUCUCUUGUUCUUCCAUUACAGGACGUCAAGAAGAAAGAGGGAUGGAGUCUCUGAACCUCUUUGGGGGACCCACACAGGGACAAGACCUUUCCAUGUUGAAGAGGAAUUCACCAGUACUUCAGGAGACAGCAAGAACCAAAAGGAGUGACAUGAAACAGAGGAGUCUCUUAAAAGUUAAGGGGAGGCCCCUCCCAUCAUACUGCAACAUUUUCCUGAUUAAACUUCAAUCCCGGUAGAAGAUCCCAUUAAUUACGUUUAAGGCCCACUAGGGGGGCCUACACUCCCAGUACUUCGUACAAUACUCCAAGUGAGGUCUCACCAGUGUUCUGUACAAUGGCAUGAGCACUUCCCUCUUUCUACUGCUAAUACCUCUCCCUAUACAACCAAGCAUUCUGCUAGCAUUUCCUGCUGCUCUACUACAUUGUCUGCCUACCUUUAAGUCAUCAGAAAUAAUCACCCCUAAAUCCCUUUCCUCAUAUGUUGAGGUUAGGACUCUAUCAAAUAUUCUGUACUCUACCCUUGGGUUUUCACGUCCAAGAUGCAUUAUCUUGCACUUAUCCACAUUAUUGUGUUUUAUAUUUUAGAAAUAAGCUGUAACCCCAUUUUUUUUAUAUAUAUAUUCUGACUUAAGGGAGGCUUGGAUGGAGAAGUUUCAGAUGGUAGCUGCCCCAGAUUCACAGCCAAUAUUAUACAAGUACUAACGUGUAAUUCAUUUUUUGCUUUUAUUAAAGAAUAUUAUUCAUAUCACUAAUGAUCAUAUAAUCAACUGCAGCCGUCACCAUUCUUGUUAAUUCAUAUUAAAUCAAACACUGUUUCCAGGAGAUGAAGAAAUUGUCUGUUGGUUUGCAAUAAAUGGUUCGACC